rfam:Streptomyces sp. 769, complete genome.
CUUGAGGGAGCCGAGGUAGAGCGGCUGGUUCUUUGGGCGGUCCCGUCCGUAGGUGGCCUGCAGUGCCUGUGCCUC